UUUUCUCACCUUUCCAGGUGACUGAUACAAGCCUAGUAGUAGGCCAACCGCGAGGAAGUACCAAAGGUGCCCACACUGGCAUCGUCAUCCACUUCGUCGUGCUCCCCCCUGGUCUGCACGUACAAUUUCCGCCACUAACAUGCCAAGACAACUGCUAAGGCAAGUAACAUAUCCAUUGAUGCUGAGAUUGUGUAGUUGUAUGCCUCCUGGUUAUCCGUACUUCGGUGCAAUAUAAUUGUAGCUCCUGUGUACUCAGAUGAAUCAUAACCGUGCCAACUGGGACGAGGGCACGACGAAAACUUUGCUGGACUUGUGCAUUGAUCAGAAGAACCAGUUCAAUUGGAG
rnacentral:lncRNA from 1 species